GCUUCCCCAGUCCAGCCCCGAGAGCCGUGGAGCCGCCGCUGCCGAGUCUACGACUCAACCUUUGACUUCGGCUUUUCGUUGAAGAAGAAAGCAGAAACACCCUGAUAGAGCACGGGCCUCCAUUAGCUCUCAGCCGUGACACAGAACCCCAUCUGGUGGGACAGAUCUAAGCUGCAGGCCAUCCAAAGCAGUGCCCUCUAAACUGAAUUAAACCAGAAGACAUGAGGGAAUGGAAAGAGCACAGAUCUGAGAGGAGACCUGGAAUCGAAUCCCAACUCUAGCACU